CUAAAUUUUAUUUAUUUUUCUUUGAAAAUCAAGAAAAAUCUAAGAAAUUAAAGAAAAUCUUUGAUUAUAUGCCUAUGCAAGAACAUACUAAUCACAUAUUUAUGUGUCCCAGCUAUAGUUUGAGUAUUGUAGUGCGAAGUACAGAAUCCAAACAUCAUUCGUCGAAGAUUGCAGUAACUUUUUUAAAGAUAGCUUGAUCAGGCCAAUUAUAUAAGAUCACAAACCCACAUCAACAAUGUAAAAAUAGAAGAUACGACUCUACAAGUACUAGUUUCAGCAGAGAUUGCAAGAUAGGGAUGAAGAAUUAAUAAAACAAAUAUCAAUGUAUGUAUUAUAAAGAUUUAUUAAUUUAUUCAAAUAUUUUC